UACGAAGGGGGCUAGCGUUGCUCGGAAUCACUGGGCGUAAGGUGCGUAGGAGGGCAGGUAAGUCCGUGGUGAAAUCUCUGAGCUUAACUCAGAACUGCCGUGGAUACUACCGGUCUUGAAUAUCGUGGAGGUGAGCGGAAUAUGUCAUGUAGCGGUGAAAUGCUUAGAUAUGACAUAGAACACCAAAUUGCGAAGGCAGCUCACUACCCGAAUAUUG
rnacentral:rRNA from 1 species